rnacentral:rRNA from 1 species
AAAGAAACUAACCAGGAUUCCCCUAGUAACGGCGAGUGAACCGGGAAGAGCUCAAGCUGAAAAUCUUCGGAAUUGUGGUCUAUAGGUGCGGACUCGCGCAGCCCCAGGUAUAAAUCCGUUCUUGGAAUUGGGUGCCAGAGAGGGUUAGAGCCCCGUCUUUGACUUGGGUAGCUGUGCGUGGCGAGUCUUUACCGGAGAGUCGGCUUGCUUGGGAAUGCAGGCCAAAAUGGGUGGUAAACUUCAUCUAAAGCUAAAUAUUGGCGAGAGACCGAUAGCGAACAAGUACCGUGAG